rnacentral:rRNA from 1 species
GCGUCACAUUAGUUAGUUGGUGGGGUAAAGGCCUACCAAGACUAUGAUGUGUAGCCGGGCUGAGAGGUUGAACGGCCACAUUGGGACUGAGACACGGCCCAAACUCCUACGGGAGGCAGCAGUAGGGAAUUUUCGGCAAUGGAGGAAACUCUGACCGAGCAACGCCGCGUGAACGAUGAAGUAUUUCGGUACGUAAAGUUCUUUUAUUAGGGAAGAAUAAAUGAUGGAAAAAUCAUUCUGACGGUACCUAAUGAAUAAGCCCCGGCUAACUAUGUGCCAGCAGCCGCGGUAAUACAUAGGGGGCAAGCGUUAUCCGGAAUUAUUGGGCGUAAAGGGUGCGUAGGCGGUUAAAUAAGUUUAUGGUCUAAGUGCAAUGCUCAACAUUGUGAUGCUAUAAAAACUGUUUAGCUAGAGUAAGAUAGAGGCAAGUGGAAUUCCAUGUGUAGUGGUAAAAUGCGUAAAUAUAUGGAGGAACACCAGUAGCGAAGGCGGCUUGCUGGGUCUUUACUGACGCUGAGGCACGAAAGCGUGGGGAGCAAACAGGAUUAGAUACCCUGGUAGUCCACGCCGUAAACGAUGAGUACUAAACGUUGGGUAAAACCAGUGUUGAAGUUAACACAUUAAGUACUCCGCCUGAGUAGUACGUACGCAAGUAUGAAACUUAAAGGAAUUGACGGGACUCCGCACAAGCGGUGGAUCAUGUUGUUUAAUUCGAAGGUACCCGAAAAACCUCACCAGGUCUUGACAUGCUUCUGCAAAGCUGUAGAAACACAGUGGAGGUUAUCAGUUGCACAGGUGGUGCAUGGUUGUCGUCAGCUCGUGUCGUGAGAUGUUGGGUUAAGUCCCGCAACGAGCGCAACCCUUAUUGUUAGUUACCAGCACGUAAUGGUGGGGACUUUAGCAAGACUGCCAGUGAUGAAUUGGAGGAAGGUGGGGACGACGUCAAAUCAUCAUGCCCCUUAUGACCUGGGCUACAAACGUGAUACAAUGGCUGUUACAAAGGGUAGCUGAAGCGCAAGUUUUUGGCGAAUCUCAAAAAAACAGUCUCAGUUCGGAUUGAAGUAGUGC